rnacentral:piRNA from 1 species
UCAGCUUGAUAUUGAUGUGAGACAUGGGU